AGUGAACGCUGGCGGUAGGCCUAACACAUGCAAGUCGAACGGCAGCACAGUAAGAGCUUGCUCUUACGGGUGGCGAGUGGCGGACGGGUGAGGAAUACAUCGGAAUCUACUUUUUCGUGGGGGAUAACGUAGGGAAACUUACGCUAAUACCGCAUACGACCUACGGGUGAAAGCAGGGGAUCUUCGGACCUUGCGCGAUUGAAUGAGCCGAUGUCGGAUUAGCUAGUUGGCGGGGUAAAGGCCCACCAAGGCGACGAUCCGUAGCUGGUCUGAGAAGAUGAUCGGCCACACUCGAACUGAGACACGGUCCAGACUCCUACGGGAGGCAGCAUUGGGGAAUAUUGGACAAUGAACGCAAGCCUGAUCCAACCAUACCGCGUGGAUAAAGAAAGCCUUCGAGUUGUAAAACCCUUUUGUUGGGAAAGAAAAGCAGCAGGUUAAUACCCCGCUGUUCUGACGGUACCCAAAGAAUAAGCACCGGCUAACUUCGUG
rnacentral:rRNA from 1 species